rnacentral:lncRNA from 1 species
ACCGAACUCCAAAGGCUAAUUUUUCAAGAAUCUCCAUUUAUUCUACCUUAUACACAUUGGACAAAAGAAAGAACACCGUUUCUCCAAGGCUCAAUCAAGGUUCGAAUGAUAAAAAUUUAAAGGUAGGCUUCAAAGGCUCAAACGGUUCAAAGAUGGCCCAAAUCACUUCCCAUAUUGCUCAACAAUUUAAUAUUUCACUUUGUAAAUUCGUAAGGCAAGUUCUAAAACCGAAUAGCAUAUAAUAUAGCAUAAAUUAAUUCCACGUUUUAAAACACAAAACUUUCAACCAAAGCAAGGCAUAAUUCGUGAUUCCUAACAAUGACUCCUUCCUACGACACUUUGAAUCAAAAGCUCACCAAAAUUCAAUCACAAUCAAGAUAAAGCAAGCAAUUUCAUCAUUAAACAUCAACCAUCUUUCAUCAUCAUGAUUCAUCGAAGCAUUUAUCUCAACACAAUUUAUUGUUUUUUUCGAAAACAAUAAAUAAACCAAAACAACUAAACAUAAAAAAAAAAUCCUAAGGCAUGCAAACUAAAAAAUUAAGGCACAUAAAAGCAAGUAAUUAUCCACCCCCAAACUUAAAAUUUACAUUGCCCUCAAUGUAAUUAGCACGAAGUUCAAGGAU